rnacentral:rRNA from 1 species
GACGAACGCUGGCGGCGUGCCUAAUACAUGCAAGUUGAGCGCUGAAGGUUGGUACUUGUACCAACUGGAUGAGCAGCGAACGGGUGAGUAACGCGUGGGGAAUCUGCCUUUGAGCGGGGGACAACAUUUGGAAACGAAUGCUAAUACCGCAUAAAAACUUUAAACACAAGUUUUAAGUUUGAAAGAUGCAAUUGCAUCACUCAAAGAUGAUCCCGCGUUGUAUUAGCUAGUUGGUGAGGUAAAGGCUCACCAAGGCGAUGAUACAUAGCCGACCUGAGAGGGUGGUCGGCCACAUUGGGACUGAGACACGGCCCAAACUCCUACGGGGGGCAGCAGUAGGGAAUCUUCGGCCAUGGACGAAAGUCUGACCGGGCAACGCCGCGGGAGUGAAGAAGGUUUUCGGAUCGUAAAACUCUGUUGGUAGGGAAGAACGUUGGUGGGAGUGGAAAGCUCAUCAAGUGACGGUAACUACCCAGAAAGGGACGGCUAACUACGUG